AGUCGAGCGGUAGCACAGGGGAGCUUGCUCCCUGGGUGACGAGCGGCGGACGGGUGAGUAAUGUCUGGGAAACUGCCUGAUGGAGGGGGAUAACUACUGGAAACGGUAGCUAAUACCGCAUAACGUCGCAAGACCAAAGAGGGGGACCUUCGGGCCUCUUGCCAUCAGAUGUGCCCAGAUGGGAUUAGCUAGUAGGUGGGGUAAUGGCUCACCUAGGCGACGAUCCCUAGCUGGUCUGAGAGGAUGACCAGCCACACUGGAACUGAGACACGGUCCAGACUCCUACGGGAGGCAGCAGUGGGGAAUAUUGCACAAUGGGCGCAAGCCUGAUGCAGCCAUGCCGCGUGUGUGAAGAAGGCCUUCGGGUUGUAAAGCACUUUCAGCGAGGAGGAAGGUGGUGAGCUUAAUACGUUCAUCAAUUGACGUUACUCGCAGAAGAAGCACCGGCUAACUCCGUGCCAGCAGCCGCGGUAAUACGGAGGGUGCAAGCGUUAAUCGGAAUUACUGGGCGUA
rnacentral:rRNA from 1 species